UUCCUCACCGACGUCAAUCGGCGUGCUGGAAUCCGUAAGGAAUCCACCACAACCGAUACAAACGUCGUUCGCACGUAGCGUCGAACGCGAGGGGCWAAUAGAGGUCGAGGCCUCGUGCCCACAACACAUUCCGCAUCCGAGAUUUCGAGCAUUACGCCUUGGGUGGGCUACGAGAGUGCAUGCGUACAACAAACAAGUGCCAACCACGACGCAUGCUGUGAGUUCCAGUCCGCACCACGACACCAAAGAGCGACGCGGAGCAGAAUGGAAAGGGACGAUUUUGUCGUCGUAAURCCUUAAAGAUAGGUAUCGAGCACAGGAGGCCACAAUCGGUCAGGGCUUGGGAGCCCUUGCGCCGAUGAUUGAAGUGGCUCGGU
rnacentral:misc_RNA from 1 species